rnacentral:rRNA from 1 species
UACGGGGGAGCAAGCGUUGUUCGGAUUUACUGGGCGUAAAGGGCGCGUAGGCGGCCACCGCAAGUCGACUGUGAAAUCUCCGGGCUUAACCCGGAAAGGUCAGCCGAUACUGCGGGCUAGAGUGCAGAAGGGGCAACUGGAAUUCUCGGUGUAGCGGUGAAAUGCGUAGAUAUCGAGAGGAACACCUGCGGCGAAGGCGGCGACCUGGACAGUUACUGACACUCAACUGCGAAAGCGUGGGGAGCAAACAGG